ensembl:lncRNA
AUUAUUGGAGGGAAAUAGCAAGAGAAGGAUUUCUGGAGUGAAGAAUGUAGCCGUCUUUCUGCUGCGUGACACUUCCUAGUAUCCCUUCCUCAGCAGUCUGUCGCAUACUUGCGGGUUGUCCAGCCCACUCAGAAAUGAUGCAGUGGCACAGUGCCAGUAAGAUAAUCCCUGAGACCAGGCUGGGUUACAAUGCAGACACAACAUUGCUAGUGGGCAGUUUCAGCACUGGAGGAUGGCUCGGCCAGCACAUAGGUAAAUUGGUCUUAAGUGAUUUCCACCUAAAUACUUUUAUGGACAGAUUUCUGAGAUGGUGGCCACCAUGUGAGAAGGUAUUUUCAUUCAAGCUUAUUAUUCUAUGCAUUGAAGUUUAGAAAAGCAUAUUUAUCAAAUAAAACUGAAAAUCUGGGAUACUACUGCA